rnacentral:rRNA from 1 species
CCUACGGGAGGCAGCAGUGGGGAAUAUUGGUCAAUGGACGAGAGUCUGAACCAGCCAAGUCGCGUGAAGGAUGACGGCCCUAUGGGUUGUAAACUCUUUUUAUAUGGGAAUAAAAUGUUACACGUGUAGGAUUUUGUAUGUACAAUAUGAAUAAAGAUCGGCUAACUCCGCGCCAGCAGCCGCGGUAAUACGGAGGAUCCGGGCGUUAUCCGGAUUUAUUGGGUUUAAAGGGCGCGUAGGGGGAUUGUUAAGUCAGUUGUGAACGUUUGCGGCUCAACCGUAAAAUUGCAGUUGAAACUGGCAGUGUUGAGUACAGUAGAGGUGGGCGGAAGUCGUGGUGUAGCGGUGAAAUGCUUAGAUAUCACGAAGAACUCCGAUUGCGAAGGCAGUUCACUGGACUGCAACUGACACUGAGGCUCGAAAGUGUGGGUAUCAAACAGGAUUAGAUACCCCAGUAGUC